rnacentral:rRNA from 1 species
UACAGAGGGUGCGAGCGUUAAUCGGAAUUACUGGGCGUAAAGCGUGCGUAGACGGUUAUUUAAGUCGGGUGUGAAAUCCCCAAGCUUAACUUGGGAAUUGCGCUCGAAACUACGUGGCUCGAGUGUGGCAGAGGAAGGUGGAAUUCCACGUGUAGCGGUGAAAUGCGUAGAGAUGUGGAGGAACACCGAUGGCGAAGGCAGCCUUCUGGGCCAACACUGACGCUCAUGCACGAAAGCGUGGGGAGCAAACAGG